AAGGAGGACUGCAAUUGUCUUAUUACCAACACUGCAGGAUCCCCAGUGCAGCUGAACAGUAUAAGAAUGAAGGGCAGAGGGAACAAAAUUGCUUAAAUCACCUUUUGUAAAGAAACUGGAAAUGUUUCUGUAAACCCUCCUCUGUUUGAUGAGCCACAUGAGAUGUUAGUUAGUGUCUGAGAAGUACACAUUUCCCGAACUACAUAAUCUCUCUGGUGGUGUAAACAAUACUUUCUGCGAAAGUGUUGUUCCAAAAGUAGGAUUGGAGAAUGCUUUGAGUUGGCCAACUAAGCUUGGACAGAUAUCUGCUGGUUAUAAUUGAAGAACAUUUGAGGGUAGGGCAUGAAGAACAUUGUUGAAGAAUUAAGAGAAACCGUUAGAACCUGAUCUUCUCUGUGGGAAGAGUCCUUUUUUCUCACUUCCAUAUGUUUCCUUCCUAAAGAGCUUGAACAAUGUUAUUGAGGGCUGCUUCUCUACUGGUAGAGUCAUCUAUGACUGAGUUGAAGAAACUUUAAAGUUUCAUGUAACUUUGGAGCAUAUUUCAGAAUGCCUGUUUUGGAUUGUAUUCUGAACAGGCCGGCGAGUCAAUCCACAAGAGUUUUUGUAACGAUCUGGGACAGAUAUAGAAUUAAACUCCUGUCUAACUCCAAUUACAAUCAGAACCUCAGAAGAAGUAUAUUUGAGUUCUCUUCUUUCAAUCUUUAGGAUCUGUUCUCAUAUUUUUAUUUUCAGAUAAAAUGGCAGAGGCAGAAGGUCACAAGCUCUUUCAAAAGUUCUCCUGUGAAUUUUGCCGCCUGGAGAUGACAAGAUUCUCUAGGUUUGGUGACAUCCCCCACUGGAAAGCGAUGUCUUUUUUCUCAUCCCCCCCUCCCCCCAUACACACCCACAACUGGAAAAUGU